UGUGUCCAAGAUCUGUGCAAGAGAGAAAGGUAUAUCAUGAUACUCGCUUUCUCUGCGCAUGCGUUAAUAUCAUUAUCUGCAUCGCAGUUUCAACAUUUCUUGUGCACUUUUGUAUUUAUUUACGGAUUGUAUGUGUGUGUAAAACAUACAAUGCCAGCCAUUGUACAUAUAGCGUUUGACGCAUGCGCAGAGAGAGCAAGUAUCAUGAUAUACCUUUCUCUCUCGCACAGGGGGUCUAUUACAGUUCUUGGGUGAGCUCAUUCCACUGAUCUCAUUAAAGUGGAUAUGGCAUAGGACGAAAUAAGUGUGACCAAUUGAAGGUUGUAGUCUUUGUACACAAUAUGGCGGUGUAUACAAAUACGAACACAGUUUACUGUGACGAUGAUACAAAAUUCCACGUGUAAUUAAUUAUCUAUAGACGUAGAUGUGUAGCAGUUUUAUCCAAAAUAUUACUUUUUUUAUAAUAAAAAUAGUAAAAUAGUAAAAUAGUGAGAUUCCAAAAUUAAAAAAUGUGUUUAUUGUGGAAAAGGAAGUGAAAAUAAACAACAAACGUUUCAUAACUGCAAGUAUGGAUUACUACAACACAAUUAAGGACACGAGGACAAAAUAAGCUAUAACAAUAUUCUUUAAACUUAUUUAUAAGUUUAGUAGUAGUAGUAUUAUUUAUUAGUAAAAUUAUUUAACAAGAUGGUCAUAAAUAAAAAUUUACGAUUUUUAGACACCUGCAAAA